AGAGAGAGACAUGCGCGCAUAUCAAUAAGCGGAGGAAAAGAAACUAACAAGGAUUCCCUUAGUAACGGCGAGUGAAGCGGGAAGAGCUCAAAUUUGAAAUCUUCAAGGUUUUACCUUGACGAAUUGUAGUUUAAAGAAGUGUUUUCCUGCUGAAGUUUUGGUAAAAGUUCUUUGGAAUAGGACAUCAUAGAGGGUGAGAAUCCCGUAUUUGACCAUUAUUUUCAGCUUUGUGAUACACUUUCAAAGAGUCGGAUUGUUUGGGAAUGCAGUCCAAAAUGGGUGGUAAAUUUCAUCUAAAGCUAAAUAUUGGCGAGAGACCGAUAGCGAACAAGUACCGUGAGGGAAAGAUGAAAAGAACUUUGAAAAGAGAGUUAAACAGUACGUGAAAUUGUCAAAAGGGAAGCGUUUGACACCAGUGUUGUUUUCUCGAAAAUCAAUUAAAAAUGGCUCGAUUUUGUAUUGUUGAGACCUUAAAAGCUCACUGUACAUUUUUCGUGUCUUUUUUAAUGCACUUUUCGUUUAACAAGUCAACAUCAGUUUCUUUUGUUGUAAAAGGGUCAUUGGAAGGUGGCUUUCUUUUCGGAGAAAGUGUUUAUAGCCUUUGGCCUCUGCAAUCGAAGAGACUGAGGUCUGCAGCGUAGACUCUUCGGGGUUAGAUACAUUUGUGCUAAGUUAUAGCUUUUUAUAGACAACUUGUUGACUAUAAUUAGUCUUGUAGCUUACUCGCUUAUGCUAUUUUACCUACGCUUAGGAUGUUGAAGUCAUCGUAUCGCGC
rnacentral:rRNA from 1 species